CUUUUUGAAAUAAAUUUAAAGUCUAACCUGCCCACUGAAAAUUUUAAAUGGCCGCAGUAUUUUGACUGUGCAAAGGUAGCAUAAUCAUUAGUCUUUUAAUUGAAGGCUGGAAUGAAUGGUUGGACGAAAUAUUAACUGUUUCAUUUAAAAUUUUAAUAGAAUUUUAUUUUUUAGUCAAAAAGCUAAAAUAAAUUUAAAAGACGAGAAGACCCUAUAAAUCUUUAUAUUUUAUUUUAUUUUAAUUAUAAAGAUUAAUUAAAUUUUAAUAAAUAAAAAUAUUUUAUUGGGGUGAUAUUAAAAUUUAAAAAACUUUUAAUUUUUUAAAAACAUAAAUUUAUGAAUAUUUGAUCCAUUAAUAAUGAUUAAAAAUUUAAGUUACUUUAGGGAUAACAGCGUAAUUUUUUUGGAGAGUUCAUAUCGAUAAAAAAGAUU
rnacentral:rRNA from 1 species